rnacentral:rRNA from 1 species
UGGGGAAUAUUGGACAAUGGGCGAAAGCCUGAUCCAGCAAUGCCGCGUGGGUGAAGAAGGUCUUCGGAUUGUAAAGCCCUUUCGACGGGGACGAUGAUGACGGUACCCGUAGAAGAAGCCCCGGCUAACUUCGUGCCAGCAGCCGCGGUAAUACGAAGGGGGCUAGCGUUGCUCGGAUUGACUGGGCGUAAAGGGCGCGUAGGCGGUUCGUACAGUCAGACGUGAAAUUCCUGGGCUCAACCUGGGGGCUGCGUUUGAUACGUGCGGACUUGAGUGCGGAAGAGGGUCGUGGAAUUCCCAGUGUAGAGGUGAAAUUCGUAGAUAUUGGGAAGAACACCGGUGGCGAAGGCGGCGACCUGGUCCGAUACUGACGCUGAGGCGCGAAAGCGUGGGGAGCAAACAG